UACGGGGGGAGCAAGCGUUGUUCGGAUUUACUGGGCGUAAAGGGCGCGUAGGCGGUCGUGACAAGUCACUUGUGAAAUCUCCGGGCUUAACUCGGAACGGUCAAGUGAUACUGUCGGACUAGAGUGCGGAAGGGGCUACUGGAAUUCUCGGUGUAGCGGUGAAAUGCGUAGAUAUUGGGAGGAACACCAGUGGCGAAGGCGGCUCACUGGACCGGUUCUGACGCUGAGGCGCGAAAGCGUGGGGAGCAAACGGG
rnacentral:rRNA from 1 species